GACGUAGGGGGCAAGCGUUAUUCGGAAUUAUUGGGCGUAAAGCGCUCGUAGGCGGGACUGGAAGUCCGUGUUGAAAGACCUCGGCUCAACUGAGGGACCGGCUCGGAUACUCUAGUUCUUGAGGCAAUCAGAGGGUGAUGGAAUUCCCGGUGUAGCGGUAGAAAUGCGUAGAUAUCGGGAGGAACACCAGUGGCGAAGGCGAUCACCUGGGGUUGUUCUGACGCUGAGGAGCGAAAGCUAGGGGAGCAAACGGG
rnacentral:rRNA from 1 species